UAGAAAAUUAUGCAUUUGCUUCAGCUUUUUCCACGGUCUACUUAUUGAAGGAGACUAUAUAAAGGAGUGUAAUGAUGAUAUUAAAAGGAGGAAUGAAGUAAAAUUCAAAAAGUUUCAGAUCAUUUAGAGUCAUUUCAACCUUCAUGUUACACUGACCUAGUCCACAGGCCACAAACAUCUAAAACAGCCGAGAUACAUGUGCUCAAGCUAAGAAGAAGGAACGGUGAAAGAUUGUCGAACGAAGCAAAGAAAAGGGCAAAGUUAAGGAAAUUGAAGAACAUAAUGAAGAUGAAGAACUUGAAGCUCAACAAAGAGAACAAAACCAUUAUUGAAGAGAAUGAAAAGUUGCGCAAAAGAGCUCUUCUUCUUCAUCAAGAAAACAAAGCCAUGUUCACUCAAAUUAUUCAACAAAUUUCUCAACCCUCUAAUUAUCACAAUUAUUAAUGACUAAGUUAGCAUCAUAUGAUAUUUAUAGAGCUAAUUAUUAAUUAAAGCACUAUUUAGCCAGAAUAUAUACACGUACUAAAUACCUAUGCAAGUUAUUUUAUUAUUAAAAAAAAACCUCUUCAUUAUUGUUAUUUAUAAUUAACGAUUGGUUA